UGGGGAAUAUUGCACAAUGGGCGCAAGCCUGAUGCAGCCAUGCCGCGUGUGUGAAGAAGGCCUUCGGGUUGUAAAGCACUUUCAGCGGGGAGGAAGGCGAUAAGGUUAAUAACCUUGUCGAUUGACGUUACCCGCAGAAGAAGCACCGGCUAACUCCGUGCCAGCAGCCGCGGUAAUACGGAGGGUGCAAGCGUUAAUCGGAAUUACUGGGCGUAAAGCGCACGCAGGCGGUCUGUCAAGUCGGAUGUGAACUCCCCGGGCUCAACCUGGGAACUGCAUUCGAAACUGGCAGGCUAGAGUCUUGUAGAGGGGGGUAGAAUUCCCGGUGUAGCGGUGAAAUGCGUCGAGAUCUGGAGGAAUACCGGUGGCGAAGGCGGCCCCCUGGACAAAGACUGACGCUCAGGUGCGAAAGCGUCGGGAGCAAACAGG
rnacentral:rRNA from 1 species